GAGUGGGGCUGGCGUCGGGAGACCGAGAUGGAAAGAUGUCCGAGAUCAAGAAGAAGAUCCGGUCAAUCCUUCCCGGCGGGGACUGGAAUCCACUGUACGACACCAGCUACCUGCCCCCUGAGAGCUCGGAUGUGGUGAUUGUGGGGGGUGGGGUGCUUGGCCUGUCUGUGGCCUAUUGGCUGAAGAAGUUGGAGAAGCCACGAGGUGCCAUUCGAGUGCUGGUGGUGGAACGGGACCACACGUAUUCCCGGGCCUCCACUGUGCUUUCCGUGGGCGGGAUUCGUCAGCAGUUCUCGGUGCCUGAGAACGUCCAGCUCUCCCUCUUUUCAAUUGACUUUCUACGGAACAUCAAUGAGUACCUGGCUGUAGCUGAUGACCCUCCCCUGGACAUCCAGUUCAACCCAUCAGGUUAUCUCUUGCUGGCUUCAGAAAAGGGUGCUGCCAUCAUGGAGAACAACGUGAAGGUGCAGAGGUGGGUGGGGUGCCUGGCACGACCACCCAGCUGCUGCUCAGCUGUGUGCACGUAGCAAGCUCCGACACCAAGUUAGGAACUGAGAAACCCGGUGGGGCGGGGAUGGGGAGGGGGGUUGAUGAGACAGGUCCCCGCUGUGUAGGAGCUCUGACAGGAGUCUGUCAGGAAGCACAGACACACGCAGACCUCCAGUACCCUGUGCUAAGUGCUCGAACAUGGAUACAGACAACACACUGCUGCGGUGGUUCCUAAAUCGGCCAGAUCACAAAAACCACCCGGGAAAUCCCAGACCUAAUAAGCCAGAGGCUCUAGGGAAGGGCCCAGGAAUCUGCAGACUUUUCCUGCAAGGGCCAGAUAGUACACAUUUUAGGCUUCGGGGGCCAUAUGGACUCUGCUGCCAUCAUUCAGCUUUGUAGUUGAAACAGAAGCAGCCAGGGACAAGAUAUAGGCAAAAAUAGAAAUGAAUCAGUGUGACUCAGGUACAAAAAUGCAGCAGGCUGGUUGGGGCAAGCCCUCUCCUAAGUGAGUCUCGUGAUCGGUCAGGAGCAUGUGUCUAUAACAGUCUUGCGGGUCUCACUAGGGACAUCGGGUAAUGUCCCAGAUGCAGUACUUUUUCAUUUAGUCACCAACACAUCCCCAUUUCACAUGUGGGUAAACCGAGGCACGAGGUAGCUAGCAAGUGGUGGCACUGGGAUUUGAACCAGGCAGUCGGGCUUGCGAGUGUGUUGUUUUAGGAUCUGUGUUGCUGCCUUUCGAGGACAGUGUCCCAUAGGAGAUAAUUGUGCUAGUGAGCAGGACUGUACUAGAAGGUAGACAGGAAGGUCAUUCCAGGCAGAAGGGAAGGAGACAAGCAGAAGGGACACAGUGGUCUGCCCUGUUGUGAAAGGAUACAGGAUAGUUAGGGGAUGAGAGGGAGUUUAGUGUGGUCAAAGGGAUACCAGGGGGUAGGAAAGGAAAGAGGGGUCAGCUGAAGAGCCAUGACUAGGACGCUUGGCCUUUACACGUUCAACAGGGAGGAAAACUUGGGGGUUUGGGGCAGAGAAGUUACGUGAAUGAAUCGGAAUCCCCACUUGUGGAGUCGGGGUCCAUACUUCGCCUUCUCUGCACAGUCCUCGCCUCUGACACACAGGCACACAGUCACGCAUUUCUCUCAGGCAGGAAGGAGCCAAAGUUUGCCUGAUGUCUCCUGAGCAGCUUCGGAACAAAUUUCCCUGGAUAAACACAGAGGGCGUGGCUUUGGCAUCUUAUGGUAAAACGUGCUUGCAGAGGGGAUCAGGGGUUGAGGGGCACCUCAACGUUGGAAGUCUCAGCAUCCUGUAACCCGCCUCUAGAAGCAGUGCUUCCCCCCGGGCCAGCAGAGCCUCCCUCGGACCCUGCUAGCUCUCUGUCCUUCCACAGGAUUUCACUCUGGUACACUUGGUCAACCUGAACCUUCCCUGGCUUCCCUAAAGAGGAGUUGGGGGCACAGGAAAUCCAACAGGAGAGGAGGGUCCUAAUCCCACCUCCUGAGUCCUCUUUCUUAUCACAGGGAUGGAACACGAAGGUUGGUUUGACCCCUGGUGUCUGCUCCAGGGGCUUCGGCGAAAGGUCCAGUCCAUGGGGGUCCUCUUCUGCCGCGGAGAGGUGACACGUGAGUCUGAGGCCCCGUGCCCACUGCUCCUUCCCUCUGCCAGCUGGGGCACAGGCCUAGAUGGGGUCUUAUCUUCACUCACGGGCUAAGCAAGGGUUGGUGGGGAAUGGGGUUCUCCCUGCGGCCUGGUCCUGAGCAUCCUGACUCCAGCUCCUAAGUAGGCUUUCUCAGGACUCGUGUUGCACGCGAAGGUUUCAGCUUGCUCCCAUUUUGCAUGCAGUCAAGGUCAUCUUGGUUACCCCAUAUCUGUUUGCGGGAAAGCUCCGGUCUUCCAGGUUGCUUUCCUAAUGAAGUCCACGGAAUCCCAGUCUCGUCUUCUUCAGGCCUCGGGCACUUCUUUUCUUUUUCCUGCAGGUUUCGUGUCUUCGUCUAACCUCAUGAAGACUGCAAGUGGGGAAGAAGUGAAUUUGAAAAGGAUCCACGAAGUUCAUGUAAGUUGCCAGCCUGUGCAUCUUCCUUACCAAAGUGCAAGGGUGGAAAAGGUAACGGCUGUCAUUUUGGUCUUUCUCUACCCACUUCCAGUCUGAGUAAACUAAGGCUCGGGAAGAAAUGUACCUCUCACAGGGCCCGGUAUGUGGGCCAGGCCCUCCUUCCCCUCCCCUUCUGGUGCCUUCAGGUGAAGAUAGACCAAAGCCUGGAGUACCAGCCCGUGGAAUGUGCCAUAGUGAUCAACGCAGCAGGGGCCUGGUCUGGCCAGGUUGCAGAGCUGGCUGGCAUUGGGAAGGGGCCACCUGGCACCCUCCAGGGCACCAAGCUACCUGUGGAGCUGAGAAAAAGGUACGUGUACUUGUGGCACUGCCCCCAGGGACCAGGCCUGGAGACCCCGUUCGUUAUAGACCCCAGUGGAACCUAUUUCCGCCGAGAAGGAUUAGGCCAUAACUACCUGGGUGGCUGUAGCCCCACUGAGGAGGAGGAACCGGAUCCAGGGAACCUGGAGGUGGACCAUGAUUUCUUCCAGGACAGGGUGUGGCCCCCUUUGGCCCAGAGGGUACCGGCUUUUGAAACUCUGAAGGUUCGGAGCGCUUGGGCCGGCUAUUACGACUACAACACCUUUGACCAGAAUGGCGUGGUGGGUCCUCACCCACUGGUCAUCAACAUGUAUUUUGCCACGGGCUUCAGUGGCCACGGGCUCCAGCAGGCCCCUGCCGUGGGGCGAGCUGUGGCGGAGAUGGUGCUGGAGGGCCACUUCCAGACCAUCAACCUGAGCUCCUUCCUCUUCAGCCGCUUUUACUCGGGAGAGAAGGUCCAGGAGCACAACAUCAUCUGAGCCUGUAAGCUCUUCGCUGGGCCCCGCCGCCCUGUCCGCCCCCCGUGGCCUCCCUACACUCUCCUGUCCCCACAGGGCUGGGCGGGCAGGCCGACUACAGGCUGUGAGGCCCAGGCCAACAGAGAGUGUUGGAGGGAGAGACCCCAGGACUGACGGCCCGGGCUGAGGCCACCCGCCAAGGCAGUGCAGCCGGACAGAAUACCUGAGCACGUGGCCCAAGACUGCCUUCUUCCUGGUUCUGAGCCAGCAAGAUCACCUAUGCCCCUCUUGGCAGGCUACCCUGGAGCCUGGGCAGGGAGCCUUCCAGGGCGGCUGGUGCAGAUUUAGUGACCGUUUACCUACUCAUCAAUCAAUAAAUGUUAUUACUCUUUCCACUCA